rnacentral:rRNA from 1 species
GACGAACGCUGGCGGCGUGCUUAACACAUGCAAGUCGAACGGAAAGGCCCUGCUUUUGUGGGGUGCUCGUGUGGCGAACGGGUGAGUAACACGUGAGUAACCUGCCCUUGACUUUGUGAUAACUUCACGAAACUGCGGCUCAUACCGGGUAGGAUCUCCUGCUGCAUGGUGGGGGUUGGAGAGAUUCGGCGGUUGUGGCUGGUCUCGCGGCUUAUCCGCUUGUUUGUGUGGUAGUGGCUUACCAAGGCUUUGACGGGUAGCCGGCCUGGGAGGGUGACCGGCCACAUUGGGACUGAGGUACGGACCAGAAUCCUACGGGAGGCAGCAGGGGGGAAUAUUGCACAAUGGGCGGAAGCCUGAUGCAGCAACGCCGCGUGCGGGAUGACGGCCUUCGAGUUGUAAACCGCUUUCUCCUGUGACGAAGCGUGAGUGACGGUAAUGGGUAAAAAAGCACCGGCUAACUACGUG